rnacentral:rRNA from 1 species
UACGUAGGCAGCGAGCGUUGUUCGGAAUUACUGGGCGUAAAGAGUGUGUAGGCGGUGCUCCCAGUCUGUUGUGAAAUCUCCCGGCUUAACUGGGAGGGUGCAGCGGAAACUAGAGUGCUAGAGGGUGGGAGAGGUAAGCGGAAUUCCUGGUGUAGCGGUGAAAUGCGUAGAUAUCGUUUGGAACGCCAAUGGUGAAAACAGGUUGCUGGGAGUGUGCUGACGCUGAGACACGAAAGCCAGGGGAGCAAACGGG